rnacentral:rRNA from 1 species
UACGAAGGGUGCAAGCGUUACUCGGAAUUACUGGGCGUAAAGCGUGCGUAGGUGGUUUGUUAAGUCUGAUGUGAAAGCCCUGGGCUCAACCUGGGAACGGCAUUGGAAACUGGCUUACUAGAGUGCGGUAGAGGGGUGUGGAAUUCCUGGUGUAGCGGUGAAAUGACGUAGAUAUCAGGAGGAACACCGGUGGCGAAGGCGCACAUCUGGCCCGAUACUGACGCUGAGGCGCGAAAGCUAGGGAGCAAACGGG